AUCUAAAUAGUUUAUUUAAAAUAAUAAUUUGUGGUGUUAUAGAUGUAUGUUGUUACUUUAGAUU
rnacentral:tRNA from 1 species